GGGGUGGAAUCUGGCAGGCAUUUAGGAACAUCAAAGGGGUAAAAUAGGGACACGAGGUUUGCCAAUUGGAGGGGAAUCUAGAUCGGGUAGCUCCGCGUUCACACGGGCAUAGCGUCCUCGGGACGCUUCUUGCCGUGUGAUAUGAGGAUUCUAUUUUUUAAAAAAAAAAUGUCAUGAGAAUAUUCUUCAUUCCAAGCGGACGAAGAUGCUAUCUUAAUUUGAACUCUUUACGAGAAUAUCCUUUUUGUUUGGUGAUAAGGUGGGUUAGAAUUAAUCUGACAUCCUGGAAUAAAAGAUCUGCAGUUCUAAAAAUUAAUUUGAGGAAAUCCGAUUUUUUUUCCCUUUCUUUCUUUCUUUUAAGAUACCCAGUGAUAUUGUAGAAGAUAUUGUGGAAGAGCAUCGAUGUUCCAUAGUGCCCCUCGAGGUUAUAAGUUAGUUUUUCACUAGAAAAUAGGAAAGGUAAUUGAACAGUUACAUAGA
rnacentral:lncRNA from 1 species